rnacentral:tRNA from 1 species
GUAAGGUAGAAUUAAAUUCCACUUUGAUUUGAAAUCAAACAGAUUGCAUGUAUGCAAGCCUUAUU